AGAGUUUGAUCCUGGCUCAGGAUGAACGCUGGCGGCGUGGAUAAGGCAUGCAAGUCAUGGGGACCCGCAAGGGUAACCGGCGAACGGGUUAGUAACACGUAGAUAACCAACCCCUGCCACGGCCAUAGCUCAUCGAAAGGUGAGGUAAUAGCCGAUGGUAUGUGAGUUAAAAUCCACAUUAAAGGUCUUCCGUAAGGAAGGCCGGACAGAGAUGGGUCUGCGGCCUAUCAGCUAGUUGGUAGGGUAAUGGCCUACCAAGGCGAUGACGGGUAGGGGAAGUGAGAGCUUGUUCCCCAACAAUGGUACUGCGACACGGACCAUACUCCUACGGGAGGCAGCAGUCGAGAAUAUUGGGCAAUGGGGGAAACCCUGACCCAGCGACGCCGCGUGCAGGAAGAAGGCCUUCGGGUUGUAAACUGCUUUUCUCCGUGAAGAACCCGCAAGGGUGACAGUAACGGAGGAAUAAGGAGAGGCAAAUUCUGUGCCAGCAGCAGCGGUAAUACAGAAUCUCCAAGCGUUAUCCGGAUUUAUUGGGCGUAAAGCGUCUGUAGGUGGCUAGACUAGUCUAAUGUUAAAUACCCUAGGCUCAACCUGGGGGGUGCCUUAGAUACUGUCUGGCUUGAGGGCGUUAGGGGCUGAUGGAACGGUCGGUGUAGGGGUGAAAUCCGUUGAUAUCGACCGGAACACCAAAAGCGAAGGCAUUCAGCUGGGGCGACCCUGACACUGAGAGACGAAAGCGUGGGGAGCAAAAAGGAUUAGAUACCCUGGUAGUCC
rnacentral:rRNA from 1 species